AGCGCACAGUUUAUACCGUAGCUUGCUACACCAUAAACUGUGAGUUGCGAACGGGUGAGUAACGCGUAGGUAACCUGCCUGGUAGCGGGGGAUAACUAUUGGAAACGAUAGCUAAUACCGCAUAAUAUUGAUUAUUGCAUGAUAAUUGAUUGAAAGAUGCUAUUGCAUCACUACCAGAUGGACCUGCGUUGCAUUAGCUAGUAGGUGAGGUAACGGCUCACCUAGGCGACGAUACAUAGCCGACCUGAGAGGGUGAUCGGCCACACUGGGACUGAGACACGGCCCAGACUCCUACGGGAGGCAGCAGUAGGGAAUCUUCGGCAAUGGACGAAAGUCUGACCGAGCAACGCCGCGUGAGUGAAGAAGGUUUUCGGAUCGUAAAGCUCUGUUGUAAGAGAAGAACGGGUGUGAGAGUGGAAGGUUCACACUGUGACGGUAUCUUACCAGAAAGGGACGGCUAACUACGUGCCAGCAGCCGCGGUAAUACGUAGGUCCCGAGCGUUGUCCGGAUUUAUUGGGCGUAAAGCGAGCGCAGGCGGUUAGAUAAGUCUGAAGUUAAAGCCUGUGGCUUAACCAUAGUACGCUUUGGAAACUGUUUAACUUGAGUGCAGAAGGGGAGAGUGGAAUUCCAUGUGUAGCGGUGAAAUGCGUAGAUAUAUGGAGGAACACCGGUGGCGAAAGCGGCUCUCUGGUCUGUAACUGACGCUGAGGCUCGAAAGCGUGGGGAGCGAACAGGAUUAGAUACCCUGGUAGUCCACGCCGUAAACGAUGAGUGCUAGGUGUUAGGCCCUUU
rnacentral:rRNA from 1 species